GAUUCCUUUUCUCAAACUAUAACUUUUCUUUCCUUUAUUAGGGUUUUAUCAAUCCGUUUCAUUGCAUCCGAUACUCCAAGGGCAUUCUAGAUCAAUUCUUUUAAGACCAUCUAUAAUAUAAUCCAGUUACUUUGUUUGUGUUUUUGGCUUACAUAAUUUAAAUAGGAAAUCCGUCAUUCUUCGUUGCUCUUUGUUGGUUGUCAUCCAAUACUUGACAAGGCUUCUAAUUCGAGUAUGACUGAAUCAUUUCUGUUAUGUUUGCUCAGGGAAAACAACGUUUGUGAAAAGACAUCUCACAGGGGAGUUCGAAAAGAAAUACGAACGUAAGAAUUGUUGCUAUCCCCACAAUUUUUUUUGGAUUAUUCAUUGUUUGGAAUAGGGUUUUAGUUAAAAUUAAUAAACAACUCUUAAGUAUGGGUUUGGCUUUCUGUUGUUUCUUAUGAAAUUAGCAACCAUUGGCGUGGAAGUGCACCCUUUAGACUUCUUCACAAACUGUGGAAAAAUUAGAUUUUACUGCUGGGACACUGCUGGGCAGGAGAAGUUCGGUGGUCUACGAGAUGGCUACUAGUAAGUUCAUAAAUGAGGCCUUCUAUUCUUUCGUAUGUUAUGCUCCCGAGUUUAAAUAUUCCCGGUUGUACUUCGUUGUUGCUCUAGCACAUUUUCCUCAUUUCUGUAGGGAGCUUGUUUCCCUCCUGCAACAAUGUUAAAUUUUCUAUUUUCUUUUUGUACAUUUAUUUGAUCUGAUAGAUUAUUUUAUCUUUACAAUCUUGUUAUCCCUUGGUAGUAUUUUUACGAUGGUCCUUUAUUUCUGUUAAGGACUGUUCUGAUUUCAAUUUCCUCCUACUGAUGAAGUUCCUUAUUUUGUGUCUUAAUUCAUGAUUGCAGCAUCCAUGGGCAAUGUGCAAUCAUCAUGUUUGAUGUUACUGCUAGAUUGACAUACAAAAACGUCCCUACAUGGCAUCGUGAUCUUUGCAGGUAAUCUAACAUUUGUUUGUAGGAAACUGAAUUGUUGCAACGUCAGGGCACUCUUCUUCAAGCUGCCUGCCAUCUGAUGACUUAUUAACCUGCAGGGUGUGUGAGAAUAUUCCAAUUGUUCUUUGUGGAAACAAGGUGGAUGUGAAAAACAGGCAGGUUAAGGCCAAACAAGUCACGUUCCACAGGAAGAAGAACCUACAGUACUAUGAAAUUUCUGCAAAGAGUAACUACAACUUUGAAAAACCAUUCCUCUACUUGGCCAGGAAGUUAGCUGGGUAAAUCCAUUUCCUGGUUUAGGUUGUGUUAGUUUUUUCUUUAAUUUGGAACAUUCAUGACGAUGGACUUCAUUUUCUUAUGGUGAUUCAGGGAUCCCAACAUUCAUUUUGUGGAGUCUCCAGCUCUGGCUCCUCCUGAAGUACAAAUUGACUUGGCUGUCCAGCAACAGUGAGACAUCCUCAUCCUAAGUCAUUACUAAGGAAACCAUUCACAUUCUUUGGUGUAACCCAUAUCUAUAUGUUGUUUGUUUUCUGCAGGCAUGAAGCUGAAUUGGUAGCAGCUGCCAGUCAACCUCUUCCCGAUGACGACGAUGAUGCUUUUGAUUAAGACUGGUCGAUCAUCUGAUGACGUUGCCCUCUGCAUAUCUAUUUUAAGUGAGGUUUUUUUCUUCUUGCUAUGAUUAACAGAAGGGAAUAGCUGCGCAGGGUAUGGCUGAGGAUUGAAACUUGAUAUUUUGAAAACGUUAGUUUUCUGCCCCCUGGAUAAGAGAAAUUUGUUGUGAUGUAGAUGGUGUGUUUUCUGUUGGUGAGAUUCACUAUCGAUUGUAGUAGAGCCACAUGGCAUUUGUUGAAAGUUCAUCAUGCAGAAAAUUUUCUAACGAGUGUUGCACUAUUUGAUUUGUGUUCAUUGUUCCUUUGUCUUCUCUGGGGUUGUCAUUUGUUUUUCAGAAAAAAUGGGUUUGGUGAGGUGUUGAAGAUACAUAAUGGUUAUCAAUACUUUAGGAACUCGGUUUAUGGUUGACGAUGAGAUAAAAUAGGAUGAUUAGUGGGUUUUUUAUUUUUCUGUGGAUUCUGGGUGAAAUUAAAGAAGAAGCUAAUAGAUCCAAAAUCUUAUAAAAUAUGAGCUAUGCAAGUGAUGGAAUGGGUUUACUUUUUAUUGUUAGGAGUUGUAUUGAAUGUCAUAAUCGUCUUCUAAUCAAAUCUAUGCACUUAUGUUUAUGGGGAACAAAUCUUAAACAUGUCAAACCAACAUCAAAAUACAUUGGUGUUUUGAAAAACAAUGUAACAAAGAAGUUAUUCGUGUUUAGUUAAUGAACCACGUAGGUUUUAGUUUUGUUUCAAUUUAGUAAAUUUGGAUUAUUUCAUUUGAUUUUGAGUUGAGCUUAGAGGUAAAAUAUCAAUUUUUUUACAAGAUCCAGUAGUUCUAUGUUUCCAUUCUCAUUGAAACCCAAUGUAGGCAAGCUUUUGUUGUAGCUUUGUGUAAUUGAAUGAGAUAUCCAUUUGAGAGAAAAAACAUUGAGUGAAAAGGGAGGAUGAGGAAGAGAAAAGAUGGAGGGAAAGAUAGGAGAGAGGGAAACAUAUGUGAGAUGAGAUAAUCUUAUUCUUAUUUUACAAGAAAUACUUGUGCAUUUUAGAUCGUACUCAUUCUUAUGUUUCUUUUCAAAUCUAAUGUGCCACAUGGGUAGUUAUAAUUGAAUAUUGGUAGGUUGAGUGAUGUGUAUGAUAUGCACCAAAAUAUUUUCUUUUAGAAUUACUGAUUUUGAAAUGUCAAUCAUAAUUUAAUUAAAGUAAUAAAUACUAACUUAAAAGCAAAGAGAUAAUUGCAGCUAUCAAUAAAUUGUAAAAUCAUAAUUGCAACCAUGAACAAAUUGCAAGGGCAUAAUUAUAACCUUAGUUUAUGGUGGUUAAUGCAAAUUUUUCUUAGAUUUAGUUAAAGUUCCAACUAAAAGUAUGAUGUUAACCUCAUGUGAUACGAUUUGAUUUGGGAUCAAAUCCAUUUUUUACCUCUUGCAUCCGCAUUUCUUUUAAUGAAUCUAAUUGGUUUUUAUUCUUUCUUAGUGUUCAACUAAUUCUUCUUCGCCUCAAUUUACAAUUCUUUUUUUUGGAGAAUGAAGGUGUGGAACCGAGAGUUGAGAUACGAGAACAUUUCUAGUUAUACAAAAGCAUAUCGAGAAGGAUUUCUAACUAUAAAAAAAGCAUCCUGAGAAAAAUUUGGGAGUUGAACAGUUUUGGAAAAGUUUUUUUUUGAAAAUAAAGAGUUUUAAGAUAAAUGAGGCAGUGACGUAUUCAAAUUACCUCUAGUAAAAAGAAACCCUAAGAUGUUGGUUCCUUCCCUCCGGUAUCCUCCAUCUUUGCGAUUCCCAUAUUCUCUCACGCCAUAGUUGAUUUAACAAACGAUGAUGACGAGGCUUUGGACGGAGGCAGCAUAACAUAUUGAUUUUGGCAGCAACUUUGGCCGCGAGUGAGGCAAAGUUAUUUAUAGCGACUACUUGACAGGGAGCAACAAUCAACCUGAGCGAAGUUUAGCAACUUCUUUGUCCUUGUAGUAAAGUUUGUAGAACAAUUUCUUGUAUUUUUUUAAAUUUUAAUUUGAGAAACAUUUUCCAUUCUCUCUUGCACACUCUUUUUUUGUGGAGAAGAAAAGAAAAGACAAACAUGUUAAAACACUCCAAUUUGAACAUUACAAUUUGGAGAGAUCACUCUAAAUAACGAUGUAUAUUACAACUUUUGAAUUUGAGAGAUAUCUCACCGAGAUAAAAAGCAAUAGCUAAAAACUUUAUAAAACAUGUAUAAAAUCAUCCUAGAUCACCUAAAACAAGUAUAUAAUUGAUUUGAAAUUGAGUAUAUCAAGUUUUGAAGUUGCGAAAUACUUAUGAAAUGUUUGCAAGAUGUUCUUGAGAUAAAAAAACAAUAGCUACAAACAUAAAACAUGUGUAAAAUAACCGCAAGUUACUAAAAACAAAUACAUAAUUGAUUUGGAGUUGGGUACUUUAACUUUAAGUUGAGAGAUAAAAAAACAUUACUAUAAACUCCAUAAACAUAUGUAAAAUUACCCUAAAUUACCUAAAAUAAGUAUGCGAUUGAUUUGGAGUUUAAGUAUUUCAACUUUUGAAAUUGUUAGAUGCCUACAAGAUGUUUGUGAUAUAAAAGAUAAGCACAAAACUCUAUAAAACAUGUGUAAAAGCACUUGACACAAGUAUAAGAUUGAUUUGUGAGAUAUUUGUAAGAUGCUUUCAAUAUAAAAGAUAAUAGCUAAAGAAGGCCGCCAUAGAACAUGUGAAAAAUCACCCUAAAUUACCCCAAACAAAUAACAAAUAUAGAAUUACAAGCCAAACAUCCCUAAUAAAAAUGAUAAUCACCCGAUAACAUAUAUUUAUUCCAAGGAUAUGACAAAUAACAAUACAACUUACUUUGAAAGGAGAUUUGGGUAAAUAUCCGCGAAAGUUUAGAAAUGAAAGGUAUCAAUGGAAUUUUUAAGUUAAGAAAUACUAACGAAACGAGAAACAACGUUAUCAUGAGGUUGUGAGCAACCUAUAAGAUAUAUAGAAAAUCGAAAAUGAGUUUGAAAGAUAUGAAGACAUCUAUUUUAUGAUGACAUUUAACGACAUAUUUGAGAAGGGGCAGGGGUACAUGCCUCCUCACAUUCUUGGUUUUCGUAUUUUAAUAUUAAUUUUGAAGUUUAAAAUACAAUAUAUAUUAAAUAGUGUUUCUCUAAAAGUAAAUUUGGUUUAUGGUGUAGUGGUUGUGCCCUCCUUUAUAUUCUAACAUCCUGAAUUCGAAUCAUAUCUCUUGCAAUUAUUCCAUGAAGAAGAUACUAUUUUUAUUUUUUUGAUGCAAUAUUUAAAUUUACAUAUUUACUUUACUUUUACUUAUGUAUAUAUUUCAAAACAUGAAAACUCGUAGAGGAUAAUUGUAAUACGUAUUAAAUUAUACUUAAUAUUUUUUUAGUAUGUUUGUUAUAUAGCGUUCCUAUAUAAAAUUUUUGGAUCUACGACCGGUGACAUUGUGCUAUUAUAAAAUGUAAUGAUAUUUAUUCAUCAACUAUUCACCUCAAUAUAAGAAUUAAUACGUGUUAAUAAUAAUGAAAUUUCUUUCCCUCCCAUUCUAUUAUAAAAAUGCAAUGUCAUUUUGGAGUCCAAUGGACGUUGUUCCCCCAAAAGAUAACCCCAAAGAUGAAGAAAUGGAGAAAAUGAGUACACAAAUCAAUAAGUGGAACACUCAGAGAAAUUUCAUAACAAACUUUCAUCAAAGACCAUAUGGCUCUAAUCACUAAUCGAUAGAGAAGGUCACCAACAGAAACAAUCCAUCUACACCACAAUUUUUCAUUCAUCCCAGGGGAAAAAUCAACAUUUUCAUAAUUCAAGUUUCAAUCCUCAGCCACACUCUCCCCACCUAUUCCCUUCUAUUAAUCAUCCUAGCAAGGAGAGAGCAUCUUACUCAGAGGGCGACAGUAGGAAAUAGAUAAGCAAACAGCAUCAUCACCAAAUGGUCGAUCAUUUAUACUUGAAAGCAUCAUCGUGGUCACCGAGAAGAGGUUGACUUGCUGCUGCUGCUAAUUCAACUUCAUGUCUGCAGAAAUAAGCAACAUAUAGAUAUGGAUUUAGAAUGAGGAUGAUUUCGUUAUUAAUGACUUAGGAUUCAAAAGUCUCACUGUUGCUGGGCAGCCAAGUGAAUUUGUUGUUCUGGAGGAGCAAGAGCAGGAGAUUCAACAAAAUGAAUGUUAGGAUCCCUGAACCACCAUAAGAAAAUGAAAUCCAUCGUCAUGAAUGUUCCAAAUUAAAGAAAAAAAACUAACACAAAGUAAACCAGGAAAUGGAUUUGUAGUUACUCUUUGCAGAAAUUUCAUAGUACUAUAGGUUCUUCCUGUGGAAUGUGACUUGCUUGGCCUUAACAUGCAUGUUUUUUACAUCCACCUUGUUUCCACUAACAACAAUUGGAAUAUUCUCACACCCUGAGAGUUAUUAAGUUGACAAUUGUUCUUACAACAAAUGAUAAAUUAUUACCUGCAAAGAUCACGAUGCCACGUGGGAACAUUUCUAUAUGCCAAUUUGGUAGUAACGUCAAACAUGAUGAUUGCGCAUUGCCUGUGGAUGCUGCAACCAUCUAUAAAGAUGCGUCUUUAGGAUUAGGGUAAUUGAAAUCAGAACAGAAAUGAAAGUCCAUCACGAAAAAAACAAAAACAAUCUAACAAAUCAAGUGUGCUAGAGAAUAUUGAAAUUUCAACAAUAGUGUUCAGAAUAAAAAGUGAAGGCCAAGUUAAUUAUGAGGGAAAAUGAUAAUUGAAACAAACUCCCUUCAGGUAAGAGGAAAUAGUGCAAUAGAGUAUUUAAUGGGAAAGAAAGAAGUUUGUAAGGAUAAAAACACAUCCUGAAAAAAUAAACUGACUAAUUCAUUAACUUACUAGUAGCCAUCACGUAAACCACCAAAUUUCUCCUGCCCAGCAGUGUCCCAACAGUAAAAUCUAAUUUUUCCACAGUUUGUGAAGAAGUCCAAUGGGUGAACCUCCACACCAAUGGUCGCUAAAAGUUCAAAGAAACAGAACAAAUUCAUAACUAUAAGGUGUUUGUUCAUUUUAACUAAAAUCCUAAGAGUGAACAAACCACAAAAUGGAGAAAUUUUGCAAUAUUUCUUACGUUCCUAUUUCUUUUCCAACUCCCUUGUGAGAUGUCUUUUCACAAAAGUUGUUUUUCCUAAGCAACAAAAACCUAACCAAUUCACUUAUACUUUUAAUUUCAAGUAUUAUAUGAAUCCAUCUUAACAAACAAAGAUCAUUCAAAACAAACCAAUAAAAUUAAUCAAUAUGUCCGUUUGAAUUGACUUUACAAGUGUUUAUUAACAUAUUUUUUUUGCAUUUAUAAACCCUUAAUUAGACAUUUAGAAAGUCAAUCCAAACACACUCUACGUAGAUUUACAAAACCUAUUAUUCUAAUGGAUGAAUCCCUUUUUUGUUCUUUCUUCCUUUCAUACUACCCUUAUAACAUUGGAACUCCGAAACAAUGUCAUGAUUUUCAAGUUUUUAGAGCGAACCAAACAAACAACGACCAAAAGAGGGAAAUCUUCAUGUUCAAGCAACCUCACCCAAAAAGAUAAAGAAGUUCAAGUGGCUUAUAAAAGAUAUUAAAACAAUAAAUCUUUGAGUAAAGGAAAUUAGAAACUCAACUUCUCCCUUAAAUCCUAUGUGUGGUUUUUAUUGAAUAUUUGUAUAUUCCAUUGAUAUUUUAUAGAAAUACAUGUUUAGUACCAUAAUAAGGUACCAAUCUUAUUCUUAUACUAUAAACUCUUUAAGUUGAUCUCGAACAUUGAUUCUCGUAUGUCUCUACAUAUUUUUUAAGAUCCGUCAAACAACCUAAGAUAUUAGUUGACUGAAUUUGGGUUAUUAAGACAAAACUAAUAAUAUAAUCAAUAAUAAUUAUUACAAUAAUAACACUUUAUUAAUAACAGUCAAUAGAUUAGAUUUACAAUUUACGAGUUUUAGGAUAUAAAUCACAACAAAAGCAUGCUGAAAGAACUCGUGUUGGUUUGUGAAGACAACUUUCACUCUACUCUACUAAGCCUUUAGGACAUGAAAAGAUGAUAUUGUCAGAUUGUAGGGAUGCACGGGAAUGUUGUGUAUCUAAAUUCCAAAAUUUGGGGCCUCAUUUGCUUGGUAGACUUAAGCUUAUUAUUUCUCUAGCCCAGUUUUUUCAUUAGAGCCUUGAAUUUGGUUGGAUAGGAGAAAACUUAAUUAUUCAAACUCAAUCAAAUUAUAAUUAUCACAAUGUUUGUUGGGAUGGUGUGGCAGAAAUUAAUUGGUCGAAAUUUCUUGCUGAACAAGGGUGUUUAUUGCAUGUUAAUUUCUAAUAGGAUUAGAUGUAAUUAGAGUAAAUUAGAUCUGUUUUCUUCUGCACAUGUCUACCAUUUCCAUAAAGAACAAUAUCAAAAUUAUGAAAGUACAAUAAUCAAUAAAAUGCAAUAGAAAAGAUGCACAAAUUGAUAGAAUAGAAGAAGAUUAAAGUAAAAGUAUGAAGAUUGUUGAAGAUAUUCAAGUGGGUUACAUUUUAAAAGACUCUGUGAGGCCUCAAAUGUCACGAUGAUUAUAAGAUUUGGUCUUUUGUUUAUUGUUGUUUUGGACAAUGGAAUUGACUUUUUAAAUAAAUUGUUUAGUUUUAAGUUGAGAAAUAUUAGAUGAACUGCUUAUCUUUUUUUCUUUUCUAAAAAAAAAAAAUGUCAGCACAAAAAUAGAUAUGUUGAAUUAUGUGUUACAUACGUCAUCACAUAAACAAAUACGCAAAAUCACAUAUCACAUAUAUUUGAGAAGUAUUUGUAUCUAAUAGAGAUUGUUUUUGUCUCACAAAAAGUAUUUGUGCUUCGAAGAUUGGGAAUGACCUAAAGAUCAAGUGGUCAACUAUACCGUGUAAUUGCAUCAUGGAUGCUUUAUGAAAAUUAAGGGAUUUAAUAUUCAAAGUCUUCACUUGUUACAUGUUUAUGUUCUAUGGUUUAAAUUUUGGAGUCAAGAUAAGUUAUCUUUUAUUAUAUAUAAUUUAUUUUCAAUUCAUUGAAAAUUUUAAAAAUUGAAAGUUCAAAAUAACAAGGUUAGAAAUACAUUAGAUUGAUGUCAAGUUUUAGCGGAGAAAAUACCUAACAUUCGAUUGACUUUAAUGAUAAAUUUGUAAUUUAGAGAACAUAUGUUCUACAAAUCAAAUAAAAAAGGAUUUGAUGCUUAAGUUAGGAAGAGAAUUAUAUAAUGGAAAAUCAAUAAGAACUUUUUAGCUACCUUCUUCUAUGAUCACAUCACCUAUUUUAUUGUAUUAUUCUACUCCUAAUCCUUAUCGGAAUAGGAAUUCCUCAUUGUUCUUUAUCCUAGGAUCUCAAACUAUUUUUUGGUUUGACCACAAUCGGGGAUAGACCGAGUUGUCCAACACAAGUUUCUUUAAAAUCUUUAUUGGCUCAUAAUCAACUUAGAACCCAUAUUGCUACUGCUCUUGGACUCGAGCUCGAUUUGGGUUGAGGACGAGCCGGAUGAGGUGGUAAUCUAACCGUGAGUCGUGAGAUACGAAAACAUACAAAAUUCGUUCAUUAAAUUUUAAAAAAGGAAUCUAUUAAAAUGGUUUGAGGGUAAGAAAAGAGAAGAGUGUAAAACGAGCGCUCAAAAUUCAAAAAAAAAAAAAAAGAAAGAAAGACUCUCUCACGAAACAGAAAAAAGAACGAUGGAGAGUGAUCCCACACUGCGGAUCCAACGGUCAGAAUAAUAGCUUCAUUUGAAAGCCAAACUACGCCCUUUCCCUAUAAACCCUCUCCUCUUCCUCUUCCUCUUCCUCUUCCUCUUCCACUCUCAAACCCCCCCUUUCUUUUAACCUAAUUCUCCAUCGCCGAUUUCUUCAUUUCCAAUUCGACGCUUUCCCAUGGUGAUACCUCUUUACUCUCUCACCUCCACCCACUCCUUACGCUUUCUCACUCUUUCUCACUCUUUCUUCUUUCUAUUUCCCAGGCUUUGCCCGACCAGAAGACUGUUGAUUAUCCUAGUUUCAAGCUCGUCAUUGUUGGUGAUGGCGGCACUGGUAUGUUCUUUCCUUCCUGCCUCCCACUCGUAGUAUUCUCUUCCAAUUCCAGACUCAAGAACAAACCGUAAAGCUUUCAAAUCGUGCCUUAAUGCCGUUGAUUUCAACCAAGAUUGAUGCGGGAUUGGAUUCCUUUUCUCAAACUAUAACUUUUCUUUCCUUUAUUAGGGUUUUAUCAAUCCGUUUCAUUGCAUCCGAUACUCCAAGGGCAUUCUAGAUCAAUUCUUUUAAGACCAUCUAUAAUAUAAUCCAGUUACUUUGUUUGUGUUUUUGGCUUACAUAAUUUAAAUAGGAAAUCCGUCAUUCUUCGUUGCUCUUUGUUGGUUGUCAUCCAAUACUUGACAAGGCUUCUAAUUCGAGUAUGACUGA
rnacentral:lncRNA from 1 species